GAGAGUUUGAUCCUGGCUCAGGAUGAACGCUAGCUACAGGCUUAACACAUGCAAGUCGAGGGGCAGCAUGGUCUUAGCUUGCUAAGGCCGAUGGCGACCGGCGCACGGGUGAGUAACACGUAUCCAACCUGCCGUCUACUCUUGGACAGCCUUCUGAAAGGAAGAUUAAUACAAGAUGGCAUCAUGAGUCCACAUGUUCACAUGAUUAAAGGUAUUCCGGUAGACGAUGGGGAUGCGUUCCAUUAGAUAGUAGGCGGGGUAACGGCCCACCUAGUCUUCGAUGGAUAGGGGUUCUGAGAGGAAGGUCCCCCACAUUGGAACUGAGACACGGUCCAAACUCCUACGGGAGGCAGCAGUGAGGAAUAUUGGUCAAUGGACGAGAGUCUGAACCAGCCAAGUAGCGUGAAGGAUGAAGGUUCUAUGGAUUGUAAACUUCUUUUAUACGGGAAUAAACGGAUCCACGUGUGGAUUUUUGCAUGUACCGUAUGAAUAAGGAUCGGCUAACUCCGUGCCAGCAGCCGCGGUAAUACGGAGGAUCCGAGCGUUAUCCGGAUUUAUUGGGUUUAAAGGGAGCGUAGAUGGGUUGUUAAGUCAGUUGUGAAAGUUUGCGGCUCAACCGUAAAAUUGCAAUUGAUACUGGCAGUCUUGAGUACAGUUGAGGUAGGCGGAAUUCGUGGUGUAGCGGUGAAAUGCUUAGAUAUCACGAAGAACUCCGAUUGCGAAGGCAGCUUACUAACCUGUAACUGACAUUGAUGCUCGAAAGUGUGGGUAUCAAACAGGAUUAGAUACCCUGGUAGUCCACACGGUAAACGAUGAAUACUCGCUGUAGGCGAUAUACAGUCUGCGGCCAAGCGAAAGCAUUAAGUAUUCCACCUGGGGAGUACGCCGGCAACGGUGAAACUCAAAGGAAUUGACGGGGGCCCGCACAAGCGGAGGAACAUGUGGUUUAAUUCGAUGAUACGCGAGGAACCUUACCCGGGCUUAAAUUGCAACCGAAUAUGGCGGAAACGCUAUAGCUAGCAAUAGCGGUUGUGAAGGUGCUGCAUGGUUGUCGUCAGCUCGUGCCGUGAGGUGUCGGCUUAAGUGCCAUAACGAGCGCAACCCUUGCCGAUAGUUACUAACAGGUUAUGCUAAGGACUCUGUCGGGACUGCCAUCGUAAGAUGUGAGGAAGGUGGGGAUGACGUCAAAUCAGCACGGCCCUUACGUCCGGGGCUACACACGUGUUACAAUGGGGGGUACAGAGGGCUGCUACCACGCAAGUGGAUGCCAAUCCCAAAAACCUCUCUCAGUUCGGAUUGAAGUCUGCAACCCGACUUCAUGAAGCUGGAUUCGCUAGUAAUCGCGCAUCAGCCACGGCGCGGUGAAUACGUUCCCGGGCCUUGUACACACCGCCCGUCAAGCCAUGGGAGCCGGGGGUACCUGAAGUGCGUAACCGCGAGGAGCGCCCUAGGGUAAAACUGGUGACUGGGGCUAAGUCGUAACAAGGUAGCCG
rnacentral:rRNA from 1 species